UACGGAGGGGGCUAGCGUUGUUCGGAAUUACUGGGCGUAAAGCGCGCGUAGGCGGCUUCGUAAGUUAGAGGUGAAAGCCCGGAGCUCAACUCCGGAAUUGCCUUUAAGACUGCAUCGCUAGAAUCAUGGAGAGGUUAGUGGAAUUCCGAGUGUAGAGGUGAAAUUCGUAGAUAUUCGGAAGAACACCAGUGGCGAAGGCGACUUACUGGACACAUAUUGACGCUGAGGUGCGAAAGCGUGGGGAGCAAACAGG
rnacentral:rRNA from 1 species